CUGUGUUCCUGUGUGUCACUGACAUGUGUAGGGAUCAGAGGGCAACGUGACUUCCUGUGAUUGAUGGCAAGGUCUUAUGUCAUGGUUGAGAAAUCAAUAGCAAAAAGCAAGUACUUCAGUAAACAGUAAGUCAAGAACAGCGUCUAAUUCUGCUCUGCAAAGUUCCCAGCACUCUAGAGAAAGGCUACAUAAAAGAUGGUGGAGUAAAUUGCCAGUAACCUGGUUCACUCUAUUACUGCCUGG
rnacentral:lncRNA from 1 species